rnacentral:rRNA from 1 species
ACUUGCUAGUUACCAUCAUUAAGUUGGGGACUCUAGCGAGACUGCCAGUGAUAAACUGGAGGAAGGUGGGGAUGACGUCAAAUCAUCAUGCCCCUUAUGACCUGGGCUACAAACGUGAUACAAUGGCUGGAACAAAGGGAUGCGAAGCAGUGAUGUGGAGCGAAACCCAUAAAAACAGUCUCAGUUCGGAUUGAAGUCUGCAACUCGACUUCAUGAAGUCGGAAUCGCUAGUAAUCGCGGAUCAGAACGCCGCGGUGAAUACGUUCUCGGGGUUU